rnacentral:rRNA from 1 species
GACGAACGCUGGCGGCGUGCUUAACACAUGCAAGUCGAACGGAGUGGCGAACGGGUGAGUAACACGUGGGUGAGCUGCCCUGCACUUCGGGAUAAGCCUGGGAAAAUGGGGUGAAUACUGGAUAGUGUGGGAUGGGCCCGCGGCCUAUCAGCUUCUUGGUGGGGUAAUGGACUACCAAGGCGGCGACGGGUAGCCGGCCUGAGAGGGUGGACGGCCUCAUUGGGCCUGAGGCACGGCCCAGACUCCUACAGGGGGCAGCAGUGGGGAAUAUUGCACAAUGGGCGGAAGCCUGAUGCAGCGACGCCGCGUGGGGGAUGUCGGCCUUCGGGUUGUAAACUCCUUUCACCAUCGACGCGGUAGAUGGAGAAGAAGCACCGGCUAACUACGUGCCAGCAGCCGCGGUAAUAC